rnacentral:rRNA from 1 species
UGGGGAAUAUUGGACAAUGGGCGCAAGCCUGAUCCAGCCAUGCCGCGUGAGUGAUGAAGGCCCUAGGGUUGUAAAGCUCUUUCACCGGUGAAGAUAAUGACGGUAACCGGAGAAGAAGCCCCGGCUAACUUCGUGCCAGCAGCCGCGGUAAUACGAAGGGGGCUAGCGUUGUUCGGAUUUACUGGGCGUAAAGCGCACGUAGGCGGACUUUUAAGUCAGGGUGAAAUCCCGGGGCUCAACCCCGGAACUGCCUUUGAUACUGGAAGUCUUGAGUAUGGUAGAGGUGAGUGGAAUUCCGAGUGUAGAGGUGAAAUUCGUAGAUAUUCGGAGGAACACCAGUGGCGAAGGCGGCUCACUGGACCAUUACUGACGCUGAGGUGCGAAAGCGUGGGGAGCAAAACAGGAUUAGAUACCCUGGUAGUCCACGCCGUAAACGAUGAAUGUUAGCCGUUGGGGAGUUUACUCUUCGGUGGCGCAGCUAACGCAUUAAACAUUCCGCCUGGGGAGUACGGUCGCAAGAUUAAAACUCAAAGGAAUUGACGGGGUCAUAGCUGUUUU